rnacentral:rRNA from 1 species
UGGGGAAUAUUGCACAAUGGGCGAAAGCCUGAUGCAGCAACGCCGCGUGAAGGAUGAAGUAUUUCGGUAUGUAAACUUCUAUCAGCAGGGAAGAUAAUGACGGUACCUGACUAAGAAGCCCCGGCUAACUACGUGCCAGCAGCCGCGGUAAUACGUAGGGGGCAAGCGUUAUCCGGAUUUACUGGGUGUAAAGGGAGCGUAGGCGGCUUUGCAAGUCAGAAGUGAAAGCCCGGGGCUCAACUCCGGGACUGCUUUUGAAACUGCAGGGCUAGAUUUCAGGAGAGGUAAGCGGAAUUCCUAGUGUAGCGGUGAAAUGCGUAGAUAUUAGGAGGAACACCAGUGGCGAAGGCGGCUUACUGGACUGAUAAUGACGCUGAGGCUCGAAAGCGUGGGGAGCAAACAGGAUUAGAUACCCUGGUAGU